AUAACAAGAAUGUUACAAGGUUGUUCUAACAAGUCUGAUACAGUCAUGAUAUAACAAGAACGUUACAAGGUUGACGACACGUUGUAACAAUAUUGUGAUAUCAUGACUGUAUCGGACUUGUUGGAACAACCUUGUAACAAGCCUGAUAA